ACAACCACAACCACAACCUCAGCAACUACUACUACUAAACCACCUGACACAACCACAACCACAACCUCAGCAACUACUACUGCUAACCCACCUGACACAACCACAACCGUCGCAACUACUACUGCUAAACCACCUGACACAACCGCCGCAACUACUACUGCUAAACCACCUGACACAACCACAACCACAACCACCGCAACUACUACUGCUAACCCAUCAACCGCUAACGUGACUGUGGAAGCAGGUUCAGGGGAGCUUUCAUCUGGCGCUAUAGCCGGUAUUGCUAUUGGCUCCAUUGCUGGAGUGGCUGCUGUUGGUGGUGGUAUCUUUGGCGCGCUGAAGUACACUGGGAGGAUCUGAGAAGUAUUGCCAAACAAGAAUGGUUAUGGAUUGUCAGAUAAAACAUUUACCAUCCUCAAAUAAAACAGAUUAAAUCCUGACCCUUUUAACUGGACAAUGAAAAAAAUCUUAUUGUCUGAAAGGCUCAUAUCAGAAAAAAAUGACAAGAUGAUAAUGACAUGAGCCAAGAGGAAGACAUAUGUCAAUUUGACUACUUUGGUAUUUUAAUUGUAAGGAAAUAAUUGUUGGUUGAUCAAUACACCUUUGUGAUAGAAAAUGUAUUUUAUAAUAUUUUCAUGUUUGUUCUUUAUUGGCAGAUACAAGUAAUUUUAGUUUGAAAUAGAAAUGUCCUCUGAUAACUGUGGUAUUUUGUAUUUCAAAAUGUAGGGUACAGUUAACAACAAUGAGCCAGAUUUUUUUAUUAACCAUUUUUCAGGAUUGCAGUCUAUGGUGUCAUGACCACGUGUAGCUCCUGAGAUUCAUCAGACCUUAGUAGCACUUCAAUACUCCAGUAGAUAAAAAUUCAGAAGAAUACUCAGCUUUCUUAAAAAAAAGUUACAGACAUACUUUUGAAGCUGAGUAUUUUUUGUUGAACUUUGCUAACAUUAUUUUCUCGUCAGCUGGACUUUUGAACUCAGUUCUGUAUUUGCUCAGAGGAAAUUAUUUGAAAUCACUCUAUGCAUUUAAUAAAUAACUGUUUCCCAUCUUUAUCUUA